GACGAACGCUGGCGGCGCGCUUAACACAUGCAAGUCGAGCGGUAAGGCCCUUUCGGGGGUACACGAGCGGCGAACGGGUGAGUAACACGUGGGUGACCUGCCCUCAGCUCUGGGAUAAGCCCGGGAAACUGGGUCUAAUACUGGAUAUGACUCCAUGACGCAUGUUGUGGGGUGGAAAGCCUUGUGCGGCUGGGGAUGGGCCCGCGGCCUAUCAGCUUGUUGGUGGGGUGAUGGCCUACCAAGGCGACGACGGGUAGCCGGCCUGAGAGGGCGACCGGCCACACUGGGACUGAGACACGGCCCAGACUCCUACGGGAGGCAGCAGUGGGGAAUCUUGCGCAAUGGGCGAAAGCCUGACGCAGCGACGCCGCGUGAGGGAUGACGGCCU
rnacentral:rRNA from 1 species